UUAACUUUAAUUUGUAUGCAGUUGGAACAGCGCCCCUAGCGGCAAACGUAGGCAAACGUUCCAACUCCAUACAAAUUUGAGUUA
rnacentral:pre_miRNA from 1 species